GAUGAACGCUGGCGGCGUGCCUAAUACAUGCAAGUCGAGCGAACAGACGAGGAGCUUGCUCCUCUGACGUUAGCGGCGGACGGGUGAGUAACACGUGGAUAACCUACCUAUAAGACUGGGAUAACUUCGGGAAACCGGAGCUAAUACCGGAUAAUAUAUUGAACCGCAUGGUUCAAUAGUGAAAGACGGUUUUGCUGUCACUUAUAGAUGGAUCCGCGCCGCAUUAGCUAGUUGGUAAGGUAACGGCUUACCAAGGCAACGAUGCGUAGCCGACCUGAGAGGGUGAGCGGCCACACGGGAACUGAGACACGGUCCAGACGACUACGGGAGGGAGCAGUAGGGAAUGGUCCGCAAUGGGCGAAAGCCUGACGAAGCAACGCCGCGUGAGUGAUGAAAGUCUUGGGUUCGUAAAACUCUGUUAUGAGGGAAGAACAAAUGUGUAAGUAACUAUGCCCGGCUUGACGGUACCGAAUCAGAAAGCCACGGCUAACUACGUG
rnacentral:rRNA from 1 species